rnacentral:rRNA from 1 species
AGAGUUUGAUCCUGGCUCAGAAUGAACGUUGGCGGCGUGGAUUAGGCAUGCAAGUCGAGCGAGAUCUGUAGCAAUACAGUGAAAGCGGCGAAAGGGAGAGUAAUGCGUAGAUACGUACCUUGGGGUUCAGGAUAGCGUCGGGAAACUGACGGUAAUACUGGAUAAUGUCUUCGGACCAAAGAUUUAUUGCCCUUAGAUCGGUCUGCGUCCUAUUAGCUAGUUGGUGGGGUAAUGGCCUACCAAGGCGAAGAUGGGUACUGGGUGUGAGAGCACGACCCAGCUCACUGGGACUGAGACACUGCCCAGACACCUACGGGUGGCUGCAGUCGAGAAUCUUCCGCAAUGGGGGAAACCCUGACGGAGCGACGCCGCGUGCGGGAUGAAGGCCUUCGGGUUGUAAACCGCUGUCGGAGGGGAGCAAAUUUGAGCGUCCUCGAGAAG